rnacentral:rRNA from 1 species
UACGUAGGGUCCGAGCGUUGUCCGGAAUUAUUGGGCGUAAAGAGCUCGUAGGCGGUUUGUCGCGUCUGCUGUGAAAUCCCGAGGCUCAACCUCGGGUCUGCAGUGGGUACGGGCAGACUGGAGUGCGGUAGGGGAGAAUGGAAUUCCUGGUGUAGCAGUGAAAUGCGUAGAUAUCAGGAGGAAUACCGAUGGCGAAGGCAGGUCUCUGGGCUGACACUGACGCUCAUGCACGAAAGCGUGGGGAGCAAACAGG